CCUAGAGUUGUAGGCUUUGCCUGCUAUCUCUUACCCAUGUCUUUUGAGUACCUUCGUUUCCUCGGCGGGUCCGCCCGCCGAUUGGACAAUUUAAACCAUUUGCAGUUGCAAUCAGCGUCUGAAAAACCUUAAUAGUUA
rnacentral:misc_RNA from 1 species